UAAUCCAUCAUGAGUGGAGCAGAAUGAAAACUAAUGUCCUGAUUUGGUCUCGCUGUAACCUUAGUGCAUUGUGGGUAGAUAGAGGUGAUAAAAUGUCACAUAUCACCAUACAGUGUGUGUGUGUAUGUGUGUGUAUGUAUGUAUAUAUAUAGGUAUAUAUGUGUGUGUAUGUGUGUGUGUAUAUAUAUAUAUAAAGAUCAGUAAUGCAGGGGCUGUUAUAGAUUCAGAUAUUUCUGCCCUGUGUUUAUGAAGUUCAUUAUUUUAAGUAGAAAAAGAGAGAAAGUGAAACAGAAUGGUGUCUGUUCAUUUUCACACGAGUAGUAACAACAAUGGUAGGAAAGUUAGACAAUAAGAAGAAGAAGAAGAAUAGUUCUGUCCCGUGUGUGUGUGUGUAUGUAUAUAUAUGUGUGUGUGUGUAUGUGUGUGUGUGUGUGUGUGUGUUACAGUGUAAAAUAUCAGCUAUUAUAACCUCUACAAAUAUGAUCGUUAUUUUAAAACACACUCCGGUGGCGUAAACUACAGGAAAUAUGCAUGUAAUGAGACGUAAUCAUUUUACUCACAACGAAAACAAAAACUAACAUGAAGAUCUAUCCCCCGGAUGAGUCCCCCGGAUGAGUCCCCCGGAUGAGUCCCCCGGAUGAGUCCCCCGGAUGAUUCCCCGGAUGAUUCCCCUGGAUGAUUCCCCUGGAUGAUUCCCCUCGAUUAGAAAGACAUUUUUGAGAAUGAAUUUCCUGUAAAAUUUGCAACACAGGACUUCACCCAUCAAUCAUUUGGUAAAGUUGUGUGUAAAUGCGUAAACCGGACUAAAACGUUCCGUCGGAUUCAUAAACGUUUCAGUAAAGUGCGUUCCCGAUGCAGCUCAUUUGCAUUUAGUGACGCCCACAAAACUCCAUAAGAGGUCAAGGGCAGGAAACACGAUUGAAUGAUUAAAGUGAGAGAGUGUACCUAAAGGGUACCACCCCUCCCACUGGGUACGGUUUAGUACCCUUUUAUCCCUACGAGAGAAAUACGAGUCCCUCACUCACUACCGUCCAUUCAGAAGUUAUGCUUCACGAGGGGACACGCCCACGGCAGCCAUUCUUAUUCUCGUUCCACACUGAGGGGGUGGAGUCUGCUCUCCAGAUUCUGCUCUCGUGCAUUUAAUGUGUUCCACCUAAACAGAUUAAAAUGUGUUCCACCUUAAAAUGUGUUCCACCUUAAAAUGUGUUCCACCUUAAAAUGUGUUCCACCUAAACAGAUUGAGAGAGAGUAAUUGGUGAUUAAACAGAUGUUAAACUUGUUUGAUAUGGGGUAAGAAAAAAGACGGUGAUAUCGUGAUUCACCACCUACACCCUGCAGUUCUCCUUUUAUGAGCCAAAGGGGCGUGGCCUAGUCUCCCGUCUGCAUUACGGCACCUGUGUGUCUCGUGUGGGGGUGUGUGUGCGUUUGUGAUUCGUUCUUACACCUGUGUGGUUGUCUCUGAGCUCAGACACACUGGUUCCCGUGUGUUCACUUCAGUAAGGUUCGUUAUUGUUUGCGUGUAACAGGGCGCGUCUCUGUAAAAUGAUUUUUUCUGCUCUUUCAAGGUAUAAUAUAUUUAUUUCUCUUGGUGUGACCACUUCCUGUUUUUAAAACGCAAUAAUAUCACUUUAAAUGGAUCUCUUUGUUUUCAUUCAAGCCGUUGGAAUAAAUUUAAAUCCUAUUUCCAUAAUAUUUACGUAUUCGGUGUGUAGCUUAAGUCUUUUGAAAAUGAUUCACUGACUGAAUUUAUUUCUUUUAUUGGAAGUUUAGCAUUUAAGUAUUUCAUGACGAUCUGGACCCUGUGCAGGGUGUACCCCGCCUCGUGCCCCAUGCUCCUUGGGAUUGGCUCCAGGUUCCCCGUGACCCUGAGAAGGAGUAAGCGGUAGUAGAAGAUGGAUGGAUGACGAUCUGAUUUAAAUUCAGUGUGUUAACAAAUUCACUGCAUCAUCGCAAUUAUUCAGUAGUGAUUCUUUAAUUCAGUUCAGUGUUGUGUG
ensembl:lncRNA